rnacentral:lncRNA from 1 species
CCAGGUUGUGUUGCCGUGUGUGUGCAGGUGAGGCCAGGUUGUGUUGCCGUGUGUGUGCAGGUGAGGCCAGGUUGUGUUGCCGUGUGUGUGCAGGUGAGGCCAGGUUGUGUUGCUGUGUGUGUGCAGGUGAGGCCAGGUUGUGUUGCUGUGUGAGUGUGUGUGCAGGUGAGGCCAUGUUGUGUUGCUGUGUGAGUGUGUGUGCAGGUGAGGUCAGGUU